rnacentral:rRNA from 1 species
UACGGGGGGGGCAAGCGUUGUUCGGAAUUACUGGGCGUAAAGGGCUCGUAGGUGGCCAACUAAGUCAGACGUGAAAUCCCUCAGCUUAACUGGGGAACUGCGUCUGAUACUGGAUGGCUUGAGUUCGGGAGAGGGAUGCGGAAUUCCAGGUGUAGCGGUGAAAUGCGUAGAUAUCAAGAGGAAUACCUGAGGUGAAGACGGGUUGCUAGGCCGACACUGACGCUGAAGCGCGAAAGCCAGGGGAGCAAACGGG